rnacentral:rRNA from 1 species
UACGUAGGGUGCAAGCGUUAAUCGGAAUUACUGGGCGUAAAGCGUGCGCAGGCGGUUUUGUAAGUCUGUCGUGAAAUCCCCGGGCUCAACCUGGGAAUGGCGAUGGAGACUGCAAGGCUAGAAUCUGGCAGAGGGGGGUAGAAUUCCACGUGUAGCAGUGAAAUGCGUAGAGAUGUGGAGGAAUACCGGUGGCGAAGGCGGCAUCCUGGACCGACAUUGACGCUGAACGGCGAAAGCUAGGGGAGCAAACGGG